AUUGAACGCUGGCGGCAGGCCUAACACAUGCAAGUCGAGCGGAUGAAGGGAGCUUGCUCCUGGAUUCAGCGGCGGACGGGUGAGUAAUGCCUAGGAAUCUGCCUGGUAGUGGGGGAUAACGUCCGGAAACGGGCGCUAAUACCGCAUACGUCCAGAGGGAGAAAGUGGGGGAUCUUCGGACCUCACGCUAUCAGAUGAGCCUAGGUCGGAUUAGCUAGUUGGUGGGGUAAAGGCCUACCAAGGCGACGAUCCGUAACUGGUCUGAGAGGAUGAUCAGUCACACUGGAACUGAGACACGGUCCAGACUCCUACGGGAGGCAGCAGUGGGGAAUAUUGGACAAUGGGCGAAAGCCUGAUCCAGCCAUGCCGCGUGUGCGAAGAAGGUCUUCGGAUUGUAAAGCACUUUAAGUUGGGAGGAAGAGCAGUAAGUUAAUACCUUGCUGUUUUGACGUUACCAACAGAAUAAGUACCGGCUAACUUCGUG
rnacentral:rRNA from 1 species